CAAAUCCACCUGCCUUGGCCUCCCGAAAUACUGGGAUUAUAGGCGUGAGGCAUUUUGCCCAGCCUAUACUUUGGGCUUUUAACAUUAUAAAUUAAAUCUAUCCAGAAUAAGCACCUUGUUCUGGAUAGCCUAGACGUUUGGAGUCAAUAUCUUUCCUUCUCCCUUACUUCUCUGUAUCUUACAGCAUCCUUUUGUAGAUCCUCCAUGGAUCUAAUAACAAUCUUGUCAUCUUUCUCCUGACGGUGCUAUAGGACAGCUCACUUUCCUCCCAGUGCUUCUGGUUCUGCCAAGUCCUUCAGACUCCAUUCGGUGGUUUAUACACAGGCAAUGGGUGGCUUUUCUGCUGGAGAGCGUGUGCUGACUCCCACUCCAUCCUUCCAUCCCCCUUGCUUUUUUCAGGACACUCUGCUUCCAUGGUCAUAUACCACUUCCAUCCUAAGGGUGGUGAUUUUCUGGAAUAUAUGUGUCACGUUAUGGCUGAACUGACUACUGACUAUACUUUUAUAAAGACCCACGGAUUCAAAGGCAUAUGAUCCUGUGAAGAUGGGGGCAGGUUUUCUGAUAGAGCUUGCAAGAUGAGGCUUGAGAACCCAGGAGAUUCAGUCACACUGUUGGUAAAUUUAUCCAUUUUCAUUUUACUUUUUCACUUUUUUUUUCUUGAACCAUUUAAGCCUUUAAUGCUCAUGUUUACCUUCUCCAGUCUUCCAUCUGCUAUUGUAAAGAAAGCUUGGUAUCUGUGAUACAGCUACUGGGAAGUAUCCCUGAGUUACUGUGUUGGUGGCAAUAACAAUUAGUAAGAGGACACAGCUUCAGGAAUAAAAGU